rnacentral:lncRNA from 1 species
CACACAUAGAUAUAAAAUCAUGAAUAAUGGAAACAAACAAGCUUGCCCCUGCUCUGCUUCGCAUCCCGCGCUCCCACCUCGUCAGUCCAAUCAUGGGCUGCAAAUCCCAACGCAGCACGACGUCGCCAUGACAAGCGUUAAUUUGAUACAUACUGAGUCAACACACAUGUGCGCGGCGAAGAAAUCUAUAGCGUAAAAAGGUGUGUUUUGCUCCGUGUGCACAUGCGAGCUCCGCACCGCACCCAUACAAGUAUCUCGUGCAAUCCCCCAACCGCCGUAUCGACAAAUCCAGGCUACAAACCCUCAAAACAAAGCAAGCACUCAGGCCCUGCAAUAUUGUCUUGCGUUACACAGCAUUAUUCUACCUGGUACAGGCCUCCUGUAUAACAUAACAACAUCCCCCAGGCCCCCAUUCCCCCCUUUUGGCAGAUGGACUGCAUCAGCAGCAAACCCGCACUGNGUGGCCGUCUCAUUGGCAGCGG